rnacentral:rRNA from 1 species
UGAGGAAUAUUGGUCAAUGGGCGCAAGCCUGAACCAGCCAUGCCGCGUGCAGGAUGACGGUCCUAUGGAUUGUAAACUGCUUUUAUACAGGAAGAAACACUACUUCGUGAAGUAGCUUGACGGUACUGUAGGAAUAAGGAUCGGCUAACUCC